GACGAACGCUGGCGGCGUGCCUAAUACAUGCAAGUAGAACGCUGAAGGAGGAGCUUGCUUCUCUGGAUGAGUUGCGAACGGGUGAGUAACGCGUAGGUAACCUGCCUGGUAGCGGGGGAUAACUAUUGGAAACGAUAGCUAAUACCGCAUAAUAGUAGAUGUUGCAUGACAUUUGCUUAAAAGGUGCAAUUGCAUCACUACCAGAUGGACCUGCGUUGUAUUAGCUAGUUGGUGGGGUAACGGCUCACCAAGGCGACGAUACAUAGCCGACCUGAGAGGGUGAUCGGCCACACUGGGACUGAGACACGGCCCAGACUCCUACGGGAGGCAGCAGUAGGGAAUCUUCGGCAAUGGACGGAAGUCUGACCGAGCAACGCCGCGUGAGUGAAGAAGGGUUUCGGAUCGUAAAGCUCUGUUGUAAGAGAAGAACGAGUGUGAGAGUGGAAAGUUCGCACUGUGACGGUAUCUUACCAGAAAGGGACGGCUAACUACGUG
rnacentral:rRNA from 1 species